AUGAACGCUGGCGGCGUGCUUAACACAUGCAAGUCGAACGAAGAUGCCGGAGUGCUUGCACUUUGGCAGACUGAGUGGCGAACGGGUGAGUAACGCGUGAGGAACCUGCCUCAAAGAGGGGGACAACAGUUGGAAACGACUGCUAAUACCGCAUAAGCCCACGGCUCGGCAUCGAGCAGAGGGAAAAGGAGCGAUCCGCUUUGAGAUGGCCUCGCGUCUGAUUAGCUGGUUGGUGAGGUAACGGCCCACCAAGGCGACGAUCAGUAGCCGACCUGAGAGGGUGACCGGCCACAUUGGGACUGAGACACGGCCCAGACUCCUACGGGAGGCAGCAGUGGGGAAUAUUGCACAAUGGAGGAAACUCUGAUGCAGCGACGCCGCGUGAGUGAAGAAGUAGUUCGCUAUGUAAAGCUCUAUCAGCAGGGAAGAUAGUGACGGUACCUGACUAAGAAGCUCCGGCUAAAUACGUG
rnacentral:rRNA from 1 species